ACGAACGCUGGCGGCGUGCUUAACACAUGCCAGUCGAACGAAAAUACCAAGCUUGCUUGGUUGAUUAGUGGCGAACGGGUGAGUAACACGUGAGUAACCUGCCCCUUACUUUCCUGGAUAACUGCUCGAAAGGGUAGCUAAUACGGGAUAUUCUGACCAGCCUGCAUGGGUUGGUUUGGAAAGGUUGUUUUUCUGGUAAGGGAUGGGCUCGCGGCCUAUCAGCUUGUUGGUGGGGUGAUGGCCUACCAAGGCUUUGACGGGUAGCCGGCCUGAGAGGGUGGACGGUCACACUGGGACUGAGAUACGGCCCAGACUCCUACGGGAGGCAGCAGUGGGGAAUAUUGCACAAUGGGCGCAAGCCUGAUGCAGCGACGCCGCGUGAGGGAUGAAGGCCUUCGGGUUGUAAACCUCUUUCGUCAGGGAACAAGGCACUGCUUUUUUGGUGGUGUUGAGGGUACCUGGAUAAGAAGCGCCGGCUAACUACGUG
rnacentral:rRNA from 1 species